GAUGAACGCUGGCGGCGUGCUUAACACAUGCAAGUCGAACGGUGAAGGCGGAGCUUGCUCUGCUGGAUCAGUGGCGAACGGGUGAGUAACACGUGAGCAAUCUGCCCCUGACUCUGGGAUAAGCGCUGGAAACGGCGUCUAAUACUGGAUACGAGCUGCGAAGGCAUCUUCAGCAGCUGGAAAGAAGUUCGGUCCGGGAUGGGCUCGCGGCCUAUCAGCUUGUUGGUGAGGUAAUGGCUCACCAAGGCGUCGACGGGUAGCCGGCCUGAGAGGGUGACCGGCCACACUGGGACUGAGACACGGCCCAGACUCCUACGGGAGGCAGCAGUGGGGAAUAUUGCACAAUGGGCGAAAGCCUGAUGCAGAAACGCCGCGUGAGGGAAGACGGCCUUCGGGUUGUAAACCUCUGUGAGCAGGGAAGAAGCGAAAGUGACGGUACCUGCAGAAAAAGCGCCGGCUAACUACGUG
rnacentral:rRNA from 1 species